UCGAGAAUUUUUCACAAUGGGGGAAACCCUGAUGGAGCGACGCCGCGUGGAGGAUGAAGGUUUUCGGAUUGUAAACUCCUGUCACUACAGAACAAGACUACUUAGUCUAAUAAACUAGGUAGUUGAUGGUAUGGGGAGAGGAAGGGACGGCUAACUCUGUGCCAGCAGCCGCGGUAAUACAGAGGUCCCGAGCGUUGUUCGGAUUCAUUGGGCGUAAAGGGCGUGUAGGAGGUUAAAUAAGUCAGGCGUGAAAUCUCACCGCUUAACGGUGAAAUUGCGCUUGAUACUGUUUGGCUAGAUGAUUGGAGGGGGUAACGGAAUUCUUGGUGUAGCAGUGAAAUGCGUAGAUAUCAAGAGAAACACCAGUGGCGAAGGCGAUUACCUGGAAAAUUCCUGAAUCUGAAACACGAAAGCUAGGGGAGCAAACG
rnacentral:rRNA from 1 species